rnacentral:rRNA from 1 species
CAAGUCAUCAGUCGGUCCCUUACGUCCAGGGCGACACACGUGCUACAAUGGCCGGCACAGCGGGAAGCGGAGGGGCGACCCUGAGCGGAUCCCUUGAAAGCCGGUCCCAGUUCGGAUUGCAGUCUGCAACUCGACUGCAUGAAGUUGGAAUCGCUAGUAAUCGCGGAUCAGCCAAGCCGCGGUGAAUACGUUCCCGGGCCUU